UKUUUACGAGGUCAGGACACUGUGAGGAUUGACAGAUUGAAAGCUCUUUCUUGAUUCAGUGGGUGGUGGUGCAUGGCCGUUCUUAGUUGGUGGAGUGAUUUGUCUGGUUAAUUCCGUUAACGAACGAGACCUUAACCUGCUAAAUAGUCACGCGAACCGGUCCGCAAGGGCUCAAAGUUCGCGGCUCGACUUCUUAGAGGGACUAUUCGCACCCGCCAGCGAAUGGAAGUUUGAGGCAAUAACAGGUCUGUGAUGCCCUUAGAUGUUCUCGGCCGCACGCGCGUUACACUGACGGAGUCAACGAGCGUUUUUCCUUGCCCGAUAGGGYUGGGUAACCUCCUGAAACUCCGUCGUGAUGGGGAUAGAUCAUUGCAAUUAUUGAUCUUGAACGAGGAAUUCCUAGUAGGCGCGAGUCAUCAACUCGCGCCGAUUACGUCCCUGCCCUUUGUACACACCGCCCGUCGCUAWWGSGUUGSYYSG
rnacentral:rRNA from 1 species